UACAGAGGUCUCAAGCGUUGUUCGGAUUCAUUGGGCGUAAAGGGUGCGUAGGCGGCGCGGUAAGUCGGGUGUGAAAUUUCGGAGCUUAACUCCGAAACUGCAUUCGAUACUGCCGUGCUUGAGGACUGGAGAGGAGACUGGAAUUUACGGUGUAGCGGUGAAAUGCGUAGAUAUCGUGAGGAAGACCAGUGGCGAAGGCGGAUCUCUGGACAGCUCCUGACGCUGAGGCGCGAAGGCUAGGGGAGCAAACGGG
rnacentral:rRNA from 1 species